GAGACGGAAGUUCGUGUCUCUCCACUCCCAUUGGCUUGGAUGUUUAAGCAUCUAGCCCCUCUCUUCCUUUGCUGAACCAUCCUGUCUCAAGCGGACCUAUUGCUUUCCCUGUAAAAUGCCUCUCUCCAAAUUCACCCCCUCUCCAUGGACACUUUCUCUCGUGUUUCUCCCCUCUGCUCUCCUAGGAGUAAAGUCCUGGAAGCUUCCAAUUCUCAUGGAAACGAAGUGCUUCACUGCAGGCUAAGUGCUCAGGCCAGCCUCAUAUCAUCAAGCAUUUUGAGGGUUGCAAGGAGGCCUUCCCUUUUCAAAAAAGUAUGCUCUCCCUGAGUUCUGCUAUUAGAUUCAUUGGGGGCCUUGAAAGACUCCCAGUGGGAUUGUGGGUGCCAUAUCCUCUUAGCCCGUGCAAAGGGCUCUCUCCCCUCUUCAAAAUCCUAGCAUUCUACGUGAUUUCUCUGGCACUUUUCAUCGGUGACUUGCUCUGUGACCUUGGGCAGGUGACCUUUCUUCUCUGGACCACAGCUUCCCUUUUUGUAGAAUGACUGAAAGAAGAGAAACCCUCACCUGAAGCAGGAAAAUCUGGCUAGGCCCAAGGACGAGCUCUGACUGGAAGGACGGUAGAAGAGCAAAGUCUGAACUAUCUUUCAUUCUAUUCCAGCUCUGACCACAGAGGGCCAAACCACCUCGAGAUGCAGCUCUCACCUUUGUGUGCUGCUUCUCUCCCUACUCACGUGUGUUAGAGAUGAUGCAUGCCUCAUGUUCUUUUUGGUUCCCGAUCACUUGCCUGCCAUUGUCCAGAGCAGGAAAUGUAAUGAGUAAUUGAUUUCAUCUUGUACCCAACUUACUUUUGAUAUCAUUCAAGGUGCCUCUAAAGAAGGAUACAGUCUGGGAUCAGUUUAAAUGGAAUCCAUCUGAAAGAACCAGAAGGAAUGAUGGUUUCAGACAUGGAGAAUGUUCUGCUUCUAUUUUAGCAAUAAAUUUGACCUUUGUUUUUCUGGCAGCCGAGGCAUAAGGAGUAACAUGAAUGGACUAUUUAUGCUUGCUGGACAAAUAGUAGGCUCAAUAAAUAUUUUUUCAUUGACUCCCAACCAACCUUAGUUGGGAAGGCAAAAUACUGAUAGAGAAGUCCCAGAAGAAUGCAGCACAGGGUGGGUGGCUAGAAAGGUUUUUGGCGAAGGGAGAAUCCUAAAACAAGCUUCAAACUCCCCUGUCUCAACCCGUUGCCAAGGCUAGGCCAUUCUGAGAAAUUCCCAUGAUACAUGCAGGCCACCAGCAUGGCUCCAGGAGGUGAGGCAUGCCCAGUCGUUCCCUGUAGCAGUUCCAUUCCAGGAUGGAAGGUCCAUCUUGAUCUGUAGGCCAGAUAUUUCUUUGAGGAAAAUGUAGCAUUGUCUCUUUUACCCAAUCACAUACCUUUGGAAGGAAAAAAAGGCAACCCUCUACCUGUAGAUCCUUAAGCCUGAGCCUUAACCAGCUGCAGAGCUGGCUCAGAGAACCCUUCGUUACAUAAAGCUUCUGCCCCUGACUGAGGGAUGAACACAGCACCUCCUCACCGGCAGUUAGCUGCUGCCCCUCAGAUUCCCAAAGCCUGCCCUUGGGAUUCAGGGUCAGGCCCAGGCUCAGCCCCAAUUGCCCUUGUGUGAGAGAUUACUCAGUUUCAGAUCUCUGAAAUUCUCUGGGUUUCCCGGUGGAUGGGGAGCUCUCUUCAUUCUUGCUCUUCCUCAGCUUCCACGUUCCUUCACAACGGCCACUUUAAAAAGUCUUUUCUCUGCUGCUUCUUUCCCAGAUUCAGGCUUUUCCUACUACAGCCUCCUCAAAGUUAUUUCUGCUUGCUCCAGUAGGGGAGCUAGGCAGCUGCUCUGAGUUUUGCCGUCUGGGCUUAGAACAGCUUGAAGUUAGCACAAAGGCGAAUGAAGCUUUAAAUCUCCAGCACUUAACAGCUUCUCUGCAGCCUCAGAGGAUCCUCAAACAACGCUGCAGCCUAGGGAGAAAAGGAAAUGUGAUAUUCAUUGAGAUUCCUCAUGUCCCAGCCCUCCAGGUCACCUAAGGAUGGGAGCUGGUCAUCAGAGGAACCAAUCCUGCGAUCAGAGGGCUGGAAUUUUCAGUCCCAUCGCCAGCCACCCCCCCCCCCCCCCAACCAACAUCUUCCAGGAGGAGAGAGGGACUGGAGAUCGAGUUCAGUCACCAAUGGCCAAUGAUUUAAUCAAUCGUGCCUAUGUAACGAAGCCUCCAUAAAAACCCAAAAGAUGGGGUUCACAGAGCUUCUGGGUUGAUGAACAUGUGGAGAUGUGGGGAGAGUGGCGGGCCCAGAGAGAGCAUGGAAGCUCCACGACCUUUCCCACAUGCCUUGCUCUAUACAUCUCUUCCAUUCGGCUGUUCCUGAGUUAUAUCCUUUAUAAUAAACUGGUAAUCUAGGGAGAACCGAGUGCCCAGCCAACAGCCAGCACCAACCACUGCACCUGGGACUGAGUCCAUCUUGCCCUUCCAGCUCUGUUGACCUCCCAGGGGACUGCAGCAACAGGACUGAGCCCAGGUGAGCCCAGCAGAGGAAACGCCCAGCUGAUCCACGAAUCAUGAGGCAUAAUCAAUUGUUUUACAAUACUAAAAUUUAUAUGUAAUCAAAUAAAAAUAUAUGUUGGUGAAGUGAUAUUGCAAAAGGUUAACAAUUGUAUUUAAAUGGUGGAUAUAUGAUUAUUGUGCUAUUUCUAUUUUCUGUGUGUUUGAAAAAUUUAAAAUGAAAAGUUAAAAUAGGCAAAAA
rnacentral:lncRNA from 1 species